rnacentral:rRNA from 1 species
CCUACGGGGGGCUGCAGUAGGGAAUAUUGCUCAAUGGGGGAAACCCUGAAGCAGCAACGCCGCGUGGAGGAUGAAGGUUUUCGGAUUGUAAACUCCUUUUGUUAGAGAAGAUAAUGACGGUAUCUAACGAAUAAGCACCGGCUAACUCCGUGCCAGCAGCCGCGGUAAUACGGAGGGUGCAAGCGUUACUCGGAAUCACAGGGCGUAAAGAGCGCGUAGGCGGGAUAGCAAGUCAGAUGUGAAAUCCUAUGGCUUAACCAUAGAACUGAAUGUGAAACUGUUAUUCUAGAGUAUGGGAGAGGUAGGUGGAAUUCUUGGUGUAGGGGUAAAAUGCGUAGAGAUCAAGAGGAAUACGCAUUGCGAAGGCGACCUGCUAGAACAUAACUGACGCUGAGGCGCGAAGGCGUGGGGAGCGAACAGGAUUAGAUACCCUUGUAGUC